rnacentral:rRNA from 1 species
AAGACAAACUACUGCGAAAGCAUUUGCCAAGAAUGUUUUCAUUAAUCAAGAACGAAAGUUAGAGGUUCGAAGGCGAUUAGAUACCGCCCUAGUUCUAACCAUAAACGAUGCCAGCUAGCGAUCUGCCGACGUUUUCUUUGUAGACUCGGCAGGAAGCUUCCGGGAAACCAAAGCAUUUGGGUUCCAGGGGAAGUAUGGUUGCAAAGCUGAAACUUAAAGGAAUUGACGGAAGGGCACCACCAGGAGUGGAGCCUGUGGCUUAAUUUGACUCAACACGGGAAAUCUCACCAGGCCCGGACACUGGAAGGAUUGACAGAUUGAUAGCUCUUUCUUGAUUCGGUGGGUGGUGGUGCAUGGCCGUUCUUAGUUGGUGGAGUGAUUUGUCUGGUUAAUUCCGAUAACGAACGAGACUCUGUCCUGCUAAAUAGUGUCCGCCUCUCUUUUGGGCGGACAAUUCUUCUUAGAGGGACUGGCAACUCUUAGUUGCACGAAAAAGAGCAAUAACAGGUCUGUGAUGCCCUUAGAUGUUCUGGGCCGCACACGCGCUACACUGAAUAGAUCAACGUGUUCCCCCUUCCCGAGAGGGACGGGUAAACCGCUGAACCCUAUUCGUGGUAGGGAUCGGGGCUUGCAAUUGUUCCCCGUAAACCAGGAAUUCCUAGUAGGCGCAAGUCAUAAGCUUGUGUCGAUUACGUCCCUGCCCUUUGUACACACCGCCCGUCGCUACUACCGAUUGAACGUUUUAGUGAGGUCCUCGGCCUGACCGGUUGGCGGAUUACUCUGCCUGCCUGGCGGCAAGCAGCACAAACAGGCGCACGAAGACGGAAUC